rnacentral:lncRNA from 1 species
CUCACUUAAUUUCUCAACAAUAAAAUCAAAUACACGUGACGACCAAAUGCCACUACUAAUCUAGUAUUCAUAGUUCUCGAAUUACAAUCAUUCUUUAACACAACACUAUAUUAAACUCUCUAAAAUAUCUGAAUAACUUCUACUCCUAAGAGCCAUCAACAUAACCGUCCACUAAUGCACCUGUUACUGAGAAUAAGAAGAAAAAUAAAAGAGGUGUAAGUCCAAGUGGACUUAGUGAGGAGUACAAGGGAAAAACAGUCGAAUCAAAUAAUAAUCACAAUACAAGUGUUCAACUUGGAAUUGGGGUUGGAAAUGGACCGUCUAGAGAAUGAUCGUUCAAUAAGGAAUAAGCGGCCAAAGUAUAAGGCACAUCAGUAUGAUCAGAAUAAAAAAUACAAUCAAUAUGUACAGGUAAAGAACAAUAUUCAACGGGUAACUCCCGGAUAUCAAUUAUGAAUUUCGUGGAGAUUCCCACGAUAAUAAUUUCGGAUAUCAAAUAUGAGACCAUAGAGAUUCCCAUGGUAACAAUUUGUUCAUGUACCUGUACCUGCCUUGUGACUCCCUUGGCCGUAACUACCUUAUAACACCGAUCAGGAGCUACCCUGCUAAUCGAUCAAUAGGCAUGCCCGGGCGCAUGCUUAUCCAUCCAUCAGCACAGUUAACCUCCAACUAUGCCAAUGGUCUAGAUCCAAUAUGGGUACUGUCGAAGAGACCAUCCACCGUCGGCCCAAUACCUCCCAUCAGUCUUUUUCGAACAGCCCCGGGCCCAACUGGUCAAUUAUCCUUAGGGCAUCCCCAAAGGAAUCAAUAAUAUAGAGAUACGGAUAUGCUUCCGACUAUCUGAAUUUACAUUUUGAAUCCCAAUAAUGAAUUCCACUUUGGAAAGAACCAAUAUCAUAGUUCAACGAUUGUGGGAUUCCAAUAACAAGUGAUAAUAUCUUAUGGUCACAAAAUCCCAAGUCAAGAGGGGUACGGUCAAUGGUUUCAAUAAGAGAGUGACCACAAUUCAAGAUCGUAUAACAAUUGAUGAAGAUGGAUCUCAAUCAACAAUAGUCUACGGUUAAAAUUGAAUCCGUAGUUGUAUAGCUCGAAAGACAAGUGGUUUCAAUGGAUCAAUGAGAAGUCAAGAUAUGAGCGAUCCAUCAAUUCAGAGUAGGUACGAAAUGAAUGAUUUAGUGGAUAAACACAAUAAUCCUAAAUGGUCCAAGAGUCGGGAAAAGAACGAUUAGUUCAUUGAACCACUGUAGAAACAAAUCAAAUGAUUCAAUGAAUCAUAAUAAAGGUGGUUCAACUAUUAGACAAGUCAAGAUGUGAAACGAUUCAAUAUUGAUAGAGAAUUAGAUUGAACUCGUUGAAUAAAUCAAGGAUCAAUACAUAAACUCGAUUCAGUAGCCAAAGAAUCUGGAUGAUAAAUUAUUGGAAUAAGUCUCGAAUCAAGAUGAGAAAUUAUUUGAAUAGUUCGAGGAAGAAUAUACGAUUCUGAAUAAAUCAAUAUUUUCAACAAUUCAAGAAUCAAAAUAUAAUACGAUAGGCAAAAGUAAGAUAUAUCACAUUUAAGUGAUCAAGAAGCAAUAAUGGAUAUCUUAUUCUCAGUGUGCAUUUUGUUUUUCCAAGAAAUAAUAGUGAAGAAAUAAAGAUCCUCACCUGAAGUCCAAUGCAAGUGUUAUAAAAACACAUUACUCUCGAGUCAUGCUCAAGUCUUGAAUGAGAGCUUUAGUACGCUCGACACCUCAAAUCGACCCUUAAAAUUCCAGCGGCGGGCUGGACUUCUCGUUGAACUCCGGCGACCACCACCUGAGACAACAGCCGGAAACCACCACCAAAUUGAAGCUCACGUCGAGGGCUUUCCAAUGAUAUAUUCCGAUCGUUGAAACUCCACCGGAAAGAUUGUCAAUUCACCAUUGUUCUCUCUGUCGGUUGAACUAUAGCUCACCUCUAAUAUUCUUGAUUUCUCUGUCAAACUAUUCCUCUGAUUAAUCACUCAAUUUCUUGGAGUUCUAUGUGAUUUGUGGAUGAUGAUUCUAUCCACGAGAAGGGGUAAUUUAUAGGCAGCAGUGAAGUUGGA